CGAGUAUAUUCAACCACGUAUUUCUGUGUCCUUAUAAAUAUUGUUUUCUUAUCCGUUUAAUUAUAUGAUUUAUUUUUUUAACCGAUGUAUAUAAAGUUAUUAUUUCCUUCUUCAAUAUUCGUAACAGAUUAUUGGAUCAAUAUUUUUGUCACAUAAAUAACAGAAUACUCAUUAAUAUCGCGAGUUAAAUCGGCAGAAAGAAACGACACGUGCUGGAAUCAUUUACAAAAUAGUCAAAGAUGAUAUCUCGCGAAGAACGGGAUCAAUUUAACAGGAAUGAUUUUCCAUUUUGGAAAUUUCAACAAAAAACUAUUUCUGUAUAUGGAAUUGAAGAUCUGAUGGUUGAAAUUCAAAGGUAAGCUGACGAUCCGGAAAAUCAAACGAGAAGAGAAUGGAUAAAAAAUAACGUGCAUAUCGUGUGUCUUAUUUUGUCUUCAUUCGACUAACGCACAUACUGGAAUAUUUGAUUAGGGUGAAAGAGAGGUCGCAUCGAACGAGAGAGAUCUGAGGAAGAAAGUUAUUGAACUUGCAGAACUUGUUAUGAUUUUGAAAACAAUUUGCCAACGAUACAAAUAACAGGUGAUAGCAUUCUAGUAGGUGAUCAAAUGAUCAAAAAAUUCCAAGAUAAAUUUAUAAAAGAAUCAGAGGGUGUAAGAAAUGAAAGAGGCAAGUACCUUGUCAGCGACAACGACAAGUGAAAUGACGGAAGAAAAAAAAAAUUGAAAAUGGAAGGCAAAGAAGAAAGUUAUUGUACGAACAGGUAAAAAUAAAUUCUUUAUGUGCGAAUAAUCAAACAAUUUUGGGAAAUAAUAAGAAAAAAUGAGUAUGUACUGAUAGAUGAUGAAUCGAUUAACGUUUUCGUUAUCACUGACGGUAUCAAUUAACGAAGGAACGUACAAAAAGUGUCGGCAAAAUUAUAUCCUAGAUACAACAGACAGAUAAUGUAGAUGCUUGAGUUACCGAUAAUAUUGGGUCUUGCUAAAUUUUUGCACAGCCUUAAAUGAUUUUUUGAAUUAAGACGAAUUAUCUUUUGAUAAGAAUUCGUGCUAUCACACAAAUUUGCUGUUUUUCGAUAAUUAGAAUUAAAAAGUUCAUUAAUAAUAAAUAUGGGACAAUGUACGAGUAAAUAAUAUAACUCUUAGUACGAAAUUAAACAAAAUCUUAUAUUCAAUUGGUAUUUUCAAUUGGUAAUCGAAAGGUUUCUUAGUUAGUUUCGAAGAAAAUUUUGUCUAAAUUUUACAAAACGGAAUGAUAGUGAUUAGUGGCCACAAACGGAACAAUAAAAUCUGCCCAGGAUAUUAUAUCCGGAACCGGUAUACAUUGCAGUUUACUCGCUUAACGAAAUGUAAUACGAUGAUCCUGAGAAAAUGACAUCGCACGAUGCCUGGGCAAAAGAGAAACCCAGAAUCUGACAUAUAAAGGUAUUUGAAUCGAAAACUUAUGUCCAUAUUGCUGUUCAGACAAAUGCUAGAUAAGAAAUCCAGAAAAAUUAUGAUGAUUGAUUACUAGGAGUCUUUAAAUCAAUUGCUAUUUGAUUAUGUGAAAGAGACAAUUGUCGAAUUGUCCAGGGAAUUUCGAGCAAUUCUAAAAACGUUUUCAUUAUACGCAUUGAUUUUGAUCCUUUCUUUAUCUGUACUUUCCUACGAUUUUUAUUCGUCCACUAACGCGUUAAAUUUCCAUUUACUUUUAAAAGGAUCAAUAUCGAAAAUCGGAUUAUCUUUUAUGUACUUUCCAGUCAGAUUUCUUUGCUUUUUUAUUUUUAUAUUCAUAUGACCACAUAGUAACGAUUAAUUGCAAUUAUAGAAAGAUAUUUAUGAUGGUUAUUACGAUUAUCAAUUACUGUAUGAAUACUGUAUAAUAGAAGAUUUCGUUAUUAGAAAGUGAUCGGUUCAUUUAAUUUCAGAGAACGAAACGAACAGAAAUAAACAAAAACAAUAUGUUCUUGUAUAUAUUGUCCUCACUUUUUUCCACAUGACGCUAUCAGUUUAUUCUACGAAUUCAAAUAAAAGAAAAAUGUCACGUAAAUAUAGUCUCCAAAGUGCUUCUUUAUAAACAUAAAACAAUAACAGGAAACAACAAAGAACUAAUUUUCGUUUUAUAUAAUUUAUAUCAUAUUAAUAGAUUGACGGUAAUUAUCUAAUCUCUUUACAAAUGUUAUGUUUAUUACUUGAGAUCGUUGAAGAAGUUAAUAUAAUUAAUUAGAGAUUAAUAGAAAUUAAUUCUGUUAAAAUCAGUAAUCAUAAUGUAUCAUGCUAUAUCAAUAUACCGUGUAAGUUUUUAAAUCAUUAAUAUGCCAAUAAAUAUUUUAUUUACGAUUUUAUUAACGGAACUGCUCUAACUGUUCUACAGGAAUAUCAACGAAGAUUCCUUCAUCGAAUGAUCCUAGAUGUUAUCAAUCUAUUUUCGUAACAUAUCGAACGAAAACUAAUCGAUAAAUAAUUUUUUACUUUCGUUAUAAAUUCUUAACAUUAAUAUUUGUAUCAUUGUAAUUUCAUUACUCGGAUAAAUUGUUCAAAUUAUGUAACUUUGUUUUCACUCAAAUUCAUCCAUAGGUCAUAGUAUCAUAACUCGUUCGAUCUACCUUAGCUAUUAUGUUGCGGUGGCGGUAAUAUGUGCUACAUAUGCAAAAAAAAACUUCGAACAUUAUAAAAUUUUUGAAAGAACGAUCUUGAGGAAAAUACAUACUCAAACCGCAAUGUAUGCCCUUCGAAUCAAACGAUUCAUUUAUUCGACAUUUUCUUUUAUCAUUAAAAGUAAAAGAGAUUAUUACUUUCUAACAGAUUCAUUUGGAUACUUUGCAUGUAUCAAUGACAAUCAUAGUUUUUCAAUAAAAUAUUUGAACCUACCAAAUGUUCUUAAUAUUUCAGAAUUUUGUUUAUCUAUUCACAGCUUCAAUCUCAGCCAUCAAUCAAUCUCAACAAUCCGAUCGAUGAGAAUUUUCAUGAUGGAUGCACCAAUGGAUGCUGACAAGUUGAUAGA